rnacentral:rRNA from 1 species
AAUAUUGCGCAAUGGGGGAAACCCUGACGCAGCGACGCCGCGUGAGCGAAGAAGGCCUUCGGGUCGUAAAGCACUGUCCUAAGGGAAGAAACGGACGGUACCUUAGGGGAAAGCCCCGGCUAACUACGUGCCAUCAGCUGCGGUAAUACGUAGGGGGCAAGCGUUGUCCGGAAUUAUUGGGCGUAAAGCGCGCGCAGGCGGUUUCUUAUGUCUGGUGUGAAAGCCCGCAGCUCAACUGCGGAGGGCCACUGGAAACUGGGAGACUUGAGUGUAGGAGAGGAGAGCGGAAUUCCACGUGCAGCGGUGAAAUGCGUAGAUAUGUGGAGGAACACCCGUGGCGAAAGCGGCUCUCUGGCCUAUAACUGACGCUGAGGCGCGAAAGCGUGGGGAGCGAAC